UUUCUUCAUGCUUUAGUUUUCUAAUUAAGCCGACACUCUUUCCCCUAUUUUAGUAACUAUGACAAACUUCUCAAUGAUAAAUGCUAAACAGUUUGGUGUGGAGUCCAUACUGAUGCAAAAUGACACCUUUUAUCACAAUUGAUCAGAUUCAAAUCACUGAAAGUACAUUCCCAGAUGGCAAGGUGACGUUGAAAGAAUGUUGAUAUUUUUUAUCUGAAUCAUCAUUUUGGUUGUGAUCGAAAUUUCAAUGUUAAAAGCCAACAGCACAUAUGAGAAAAUGUGUGCUUUUCAACAUUCUAAUUGAUCCUUAAUCGUUAGGGAGUAAACACUGGUGAAUCCAGGGGUUAAACUGGGGCGGAAUGGUCCGGAACGGCAUCUCCAAAAAUAAAAGUCCAGUCUGUGAAGCGUCAGUACCUGUUCCGUUGUAUUCGUCUAGAGUGGCCCUGUUUUAAGCGCACACGCGCUCCGCCUUGUUUUGCUGCCCUCAUCAAGCAGUUCAGACAGUGGGAUGAAAUGUCAUCCUUGCAUGCUUUCCUCGUUUCUUAUGAGGGAGACGUUAAGAAAAAGAACGAAAAAGACAAAGAAAAAUAAGGAUACACAGUUACAGGAAUGAGAAGCACCCUAUGAUGGAGUGACACUGAAUAAACAUUGAUCUGUAGUCAACGGUGUGAUCACCUGGGAUCUAGAAAGGACCAGCCAGCACCUCACAUCCUUGCAGUUAUUUCAGACUGCACAUUAUAGAUGUUUUUCUGAUCUUGCGCACCCAAUUUACGUCUUGGAGCCUCUACUAACCAGAUGAGUGGAAUAAGAUGCCUCUGAGUGUGGGAGCAGUUUCUCUGGAGCCUCCUGCAACAACCUUUUUUUUGUGUUUUACUGUUAUUACUUUUGUGAUGAAGAUAAAUAAACUCUAGAAGCUAUGUGAAAGUUGCUUUUAUUUAUAUAAUUGUUUUUCACUACAUGUCUUAAAUCUUUGUUGAUAUUUCAACAAAUGUGAUUCUAUAAGAUACAGGUGCAUCUCAAUAAAUUAGAAUGUCGUGGAAAAGU